rnacentral:rRNA from 1 species
GACAGAGGGUGCAAACGUUGUUCGGAAUUACUGGGCGUAAAGGGCUCGUAGGUGGCCAACUAAGUCAGACGUGAAAUCCCUCGGCUUAACCGGGGAACUGCGUCUGAUACUGGAUGGCUUGAGUUUGGGAGAGGGACGCGGAAUUCCAGGUGUAGCGGUGAAAUGCGUAGAUAUCUGGAGGAACACCGGUGGCGAAGGCGGCGUCCUGGACCAACACUGACACUGAGGAGCGAAAGCCAGGGGAGCAAACGGG